rnacentral:lncRNA from 1 species
CUAGGUUGAUUUGGAGAAGGACGAGCGGCCAGCCUUGAGAGACAAUCGGGGGCCAUUGGCUGGAGUCUUUUCUAAACAUGAUCUAUCAAAGUAUAGCUGACAAGAUGACCUCCACUUGAGGGGACAGGAUGGUUUACAUUUCCUAUCAAAUUUGAUUUUUCAUAAAUAGUUUGGUAUUCGAGGGUGAGGUGGUUCUUACACAUUGGGUGCUAGAGAGAGCUAUCUGUUUGGCUAUGGAGUACAGUCAUUUUGAUACUACUGAUCCAUCCUUUGAUGCCCCUAUUCACUGGGACUCCCAUGCUGCCUCUACAGCGAUCUGGGGGGUUAUUUUUAUUUUUGAAAGCCCCC